CAAAGUUGUUCGUGUUUAUGACGUCGAAUAUCGACGUCAUAAACACCAAAGUUGAUCGUGUUUAUGACGUCGAAUAUCGACGUCAUAAUCACCAAAG